rnacentral:tRNA from 1 species
CAAAGUAGGGCUUGAUUAGUUGAGCGUUUCACUUACACUGAAGAGUUACCCGUGCAAUUCGGGUUGCUUUGA